rnacentral:misc_RNA from 1 species
GAUGAAGAACGUAGCGAAAUGCGAUAAGUAGUGUGAAUUGCAGAAUUCAGUGAAUCAUCGAAUCUUUGAACGCACAUUGCGCCCCAUGGUAUUCCGUGGGGCAUGCCUGUUCGAGCGUCAUUUACCCCCUCAAGCUCCGCUUGGUGUUGGGCGUCUGUCCCGCUUCGCGCGCGGACUCGCCCCAAAGGUAUUGGCAGCGGUCGUGCCAGCUUCUCGCGCAGCACAUUGCGCUUCUCGAGGCACCGGUGGGCCCGCGUCCAUCAAGCUCACCCCCCCAGUUUGACCUCGGAUCAGGUAGGGAUACCCGCUGAACUUAAGCAUAUCAAUAAUCGGAGGA